rnacentral:ncRNA from 1 species
UGGUAGCCUUCCGGAGCCAGUCGUGCCACAGCCGAGGCCAGGGAAUCCGGUGCGAAUCCGGAACUGACGCGCAGCGGUGAGGGGGACGGGCGGGGCACAGCAUGCCACUGGGAGGGACGGGCCGCCGUGAGGGCGGUGACGGACCCCUGCCGGGAAGGCGUCCCGUCCGGGCGAACCCGAGUCCGAAGACCUGCUGGCACCUUCGCGCCCCG